rnacentral:rRNA from 1 species
GAUGAACGCUAGCUACAGGCUUAACACAUGCAAGUCGCGGGGCAGCAUGAAGUCAGCUUGCUGACUUUGAUGGCGACCGGCGCACGGGUGAGUAACGCGUAUCCAACCUGCCUGUUACCACGGCACAGCCCGUCGAAAGGCGGAUUAAUGCCGUAUGUGGUCCUUUGCGGGCAUCUAAUUAGGACUAAAGGUUCAGCGGUAACGGAUGGGGAUGCGUCCGAUUAGCUAGACGGCGGGGUAACGGCCCACCGUGGCUACGAUCGGUAGGGGUUCUGAGAGGAAGGUCCCCCACACUGGAACUGAGACACGGUCCAGACUCCUACGGGAGGCAGCAGUGAGGAAUAUUGGUCAAUGGGCGGAAGCCUGAACCAGCCAAGUAGCGUGAGGGAAGACUGCCCUAUGGGUUGUAAACCUCUUUUGUGCGGGGAUAAAGUGAGGGACGUGUCCCUUAUUGCAGGUACCGCACGAAUAAGGACCGGCUAAUUCCGUG